GAUGUGUAUAAGAGACAGGUGAGUCAUCGAAUCUUUGAACGCACAUUGCGCCCUCUGGUAUUCCGGGGGGCAUGCCUGUUCGAGCGUCAUUACAACCCUCAAGCUCUGCUUGGUAUUAGGCCUUACCUGCUACAGGCAGGCCGUAAAAUCAGUGGCGGUGCCAUUCGGCUUCAAGCGUAGUAAUUUUUCUCGCUUCGGAGUACCGGUUGCGUGCCUGCUAUAAAACCCCAAUUUUAUCAAAGGUUGACCUCGGAUCAGGUAGGGAUACCCGCUGAACUUAAGCAUAUCAAUAAGCGGAGG
rnacentral:misc_RNA from 1 species